GGGAAUAGCCUUCUGAAAGGAAGAUUAACACCGCAUAACAUCACGAAACGGCAUCGUUUUGUGAUCAAAUCUCCGGAGGUUAUAGAUGGGCAUGCGUGACAUUAGCUAGUUGGUGAGGUAACGGCUCACCAAGGCUACGAUGUCUAGGGGGUCUGAGAGGAUGAUCCCCCACACUGGCACUGAGACACGGACCAGACUCCUACGGGAGGCAGCAGUAAGGAAUAUUGGACAAUGGGCGCAAGCCUGAUCCAGCCAUGCCGCGUGAAGGAUGACGGCCCUCUGGGUUGUAAACUUCUUUUAUAUGGGAAUAAACCCCUGGUUUCUACCGGGGCUGAAUGUACCAUAAGAAUAAGGAUCGGCUAACUUCGUGCCAGCAGCCGCGGUAAUACGAAGGAUCCAAGCGUUAUCCGGAUUUAUUGGGUUUAAAGGGUGCGUAGGCGGACUAUUAAGUCAGUGGUGAAAGCCUGCAGCUUAACUGCAGAACUGCCAUUGAUACUGAUGGUCUUGAGUACAUUUGAGGUGGGCGGAAUGUGUCAUGUAGUGGUGAAAUACUUAGAUAUGACACAGAACUCCGAUUGCGAAGGCAGCUCACUAAACUGUAACUGACGCUGAGGCACGAAAGCGUGGGGAUCAAACAGGAUUAGAUACCCUGGUAGUCCACGCCCUAAACGAUGAUUACUCGAUGUGUGCGAUACACUGUACGCGUCUGAGCGAAAGCAUUAAGUAAUCCACCUGGGGAGUACGGUCGCAAGGCUGAAACUCAAAGGAAUUGA
rnacentral:rRNA from 1 species